rnacentral:rRNA from 1 species
UACAGAGGGUGCGAGCGUUAAUCGGAAUUACUGGGCGUAAAGGGCUCGUAGGUGGCCAACUAAGUCAGACGUGAAAUCCCUCGGCUUAACCGGGGAACUGCGUCUGAUACUGGAUGGCUUGAGUUCGGGAGAGGGAUGCGGAAUUCCAGGUGUAGCGGUGAAAUGCGUAGAUAUCUGGAGGAACACCGGUGGCGAAGGCGGCAUCCUGGACCGACACUGACACUGAGGAGCGAAAGCCAGGGGAGCAAACGGG